CUAGAUUUUAAGUUUUGUGAGUCCGGAAACCUUGUCUCUUAUUCACACCUGUAUUCCCAUCAUUUAGUAGGCAGUCUUGUACAUGAGUAUUACCUAGGAUUGAUUCAGUGCUUGGAGCAUGGCCCUUCUGCUUCCAUGACCCAGAAUUUAGAUUUGUUCCACGAUGCUGCAAGAUGGCCAUUAUAGGUUAAGAAACCUUUGGUAGACUCUUCUGGGAAUCUAAUCAUCACUCAUAUUGCUUGUCAGUAAUAUUUAAGCCUAAAUAAUGGUCAAACUUAAACAUAUCCCCUUUGGGAACAUGGCCAAUCUGUAUUUGGGAAUAAACAAUAUUUAAAGUUUUCA